UGGGGAAUAUUGCACAAUGGGCGAAAGCCUGAUGCAGCGACGCCGCGUGAGGGAUGACGGCCUUCGGGUUGUAAACCUCUUUCAGUAGGGACGAAGCGCAAGUGACGGUACCUGCAGAAGAAACACCGGCUAACUACGUGCCAGCAGCCGCGGUAAUACGUAGGGUGCGAGCGUUGUCCGGAAUUACUGGGCGUAAAGAGCUCGUAGGCGGUUUGUCACGUCGUCUGUGAAAUCCUAGGGCUUAACCCUGGACGUGCAGGCGAUACGGGCUGACUUGAGUACUACAGGGGAGACUGGAAUUUCUGGUGUAGCGGUGGAAUGCACAGAUAUCAGGAAGAACACCGAUGGCGAAGGCAGGUCUCUGGGUAGUAACUGACGCUGAGGAGCGAAAGCAUGGGUAGCGAACAGG
rnacentral:rRNA from 1 species